AGUGACAGUUUCACUUUCUUUAUUGCUGCAGACCGGCUGAUUUCUGGGAAACAGCAGCAAUAAACACAAGCUUGUGUACGUUAGUGUGGAGCUGCAGUAAGAGGGGCAUCAAAAACUAAACUCAACACAUGUCGCUCAGUUAGGAUCUAUGACUGAAACGAUAGCAUUUGUGUAAUGUGAGUCUGAUAUACUGUAAGGUGAUCAGAUUUAAGGAGGUUUCCACCUGACGAGCAUGGCUGCCAUAUCAUAACAAAAAUAAAUAGCCACUGUCAGCAUGUUUGCAGUGAUGACAGGAACUAGCACAGAUAAGACAACACCAGAGGCUAUAUAUCUGUUCUAAUCCACUAAUUACCAAUAAACAGUUCUCACGUCUGAGAUGGAGUUCACUGAUGAAGAGUUGAUGUGGCUGCUGGACAUAUCAUCAGAGGUUCCUGAUGGUGACCUCACCCCAAUGGAAGAGUUCUGGUGUGAACUAGCAAAGCCGACGACAUCACAGGAGGCCAGGCUUUUCCAGCUACUGGCCACCAUACACUUUGGCUUGAUUGACUCUUCCACAAUGUUCCACAAUGCUCCACAAUGAACAUGAAAACAACUAUAGUGAAAAGAACAGAUUUCUGACAGGGGGUUAAAUAAUUCCCCAAACAGACUGACUAGUUGACUAGUUGUCCCAAAAAUGGGGAUAAAACACAGUGUUUAAAUAAACAACAGUGCUCCGUUUGCCUGUGUACAGAGAAAUGCAAAGUUUACUGUAGAUCAUGAAAUACUGCUAACACAAGAGAUCUGAUAAUAUAAACGAAAAUAUCUUAUAAUAACAAUUAGGUAAACUAAGAUUAAAAAUGCUCUGAAAGUCUUCAUUAUCAUUAAUCACUGUUCAUAAGCUUCAGAUCCAGUAGAAUACAUUUACUACAGAGAGAAUAGUUAAGGAUUACGGUUUAGGGUUAGGAAGAAAGUUGUAUUAAUUUUAAACUUAAAGUGGUUCCUGGCUGCAAUAGCACAGCUUCAAUCUACAGAGUUACAUCUACUACAUAAAAACCUUCUUCUGUGAUGUUUUCAUGAAACCUACCUCAUGAAAGCGAGAGCAUUUUCAAACAUGUUUUCUGUAUUCCACACAUAUGAAAAGUUUCAUAUCUGUGUGUGUGUGUGUGUGUGCAUGUGUAUCAUCAGUGCCUCAUUUGUACCAUGCUAGAAAAGUACAAGGUGCUUUUUAUUUCUGGCAGCAGUCUAUACAAAUGAUGAAUACUGCCUUGAAGUAUGCUGUAUAAUGGAUGUAUAAUUUGACUCACUGUUAAAAACAAUCACAAUUGUGCAAUCUUUGUCAGAUCUCACUGUAGUCUGGAAGAGAGCUGAAGAUUUGAGUAGCAUCAAAAUACAUUAGAGCUCCAUGUACUUUUUACUACAGAUCUUUUUUUUUUAUUAUUAUGUUGUUUACCACUACAAGCUCAAAACCAGUGUACACAGUCAAUGAACAAUACUUUGGAAAACUCAAACCCAACAUACCUCUCUGUAAAAUAAAAAAUGUUAAGCUUUUUGAA